CCUACGGGGAGCAGCAGUGAGGAAUAUUGGUCAAUGGACGAGAGUCUGAACCAGCCAAGUGGCGUGAAGGAUGACUGCCCUAUGGGUUGUAAACUUCUUUUAUAUGGGAAUAAAACGUUCCACGUGUGGGAUUUUGUAUGUACCAUAUGAAUAAGGAUCGGCUAACUCCGUGCCAGCAGCCGCGGUAAUACGGAGGAUCCGAGCGUUAUCCGGAUUUAUUGGGUUUAAAGGGAGCGUAGGUGGAUUGUUAAGUCAGUUGUGAAAGUUUGCGGCUCAACCGUAAAAUUGCAGUUGAAACUGGCAGUCUUGAGUACAGUAGAGGUGGGCGGAAUUCGUGGUGUAGCGGUGAAAUGCUUAGAUAUCACGAAGAACUCCGAUUGCGAAGGCAGUUCACUGGACUGCAACUGACACUGAGGCUCGAAAGUGUGGGUAUCAAACAGGAUUAGAUACCCGGGUAGUC
rnacentral:rRNA from 1 species